CGGUCAUGUGAUGUGGUUUAUGCGAUUACUUUGCAGGUCCGGGACUUUUACACCAAAGUGCUGAGUGAAGAAGAGCGCAAGAGGCUCUGUGAGAACAUCGCCGGUCACCUGAAGGAUGCCCAACUCUUCAUCCAAAAAAGAGCUGUGAAGAAUUUCACCGACGUUCACCCCGAUUACGGCAACCGUAUCCAGGCUCUGCUUGACAAGUACAACGCUGAAGGA